UCGGUAGCGCACGCGUGGGCAAGGCAGCCAGCCCAGCAUAAAGGAGGCCGGCUAGCGAGGCGCAACCGAAAACCAAGCCAUGGAAACGGGCUUAAUGCCUCAGUAAUUAUAGACAGGCAUUCGCCGAAAUUGACUAAGCCCGCCAAAAAAAAAAGAGGUCCAUCGGCGUCCGUGCCCCAAGAGUCCCGAUUUCAGCUGCUGACCCCCAAAAAGGACCACACACAAGCUGAGAGUUCUAGGCUCGGGCUAAUCGCCUACUGGAGCUGGCUAAUUGGGGGCUGUGGUUCGCUUUUAUGUUGCCCAGGUCCUUCGGCCAUUCGCAUGAUUAAUGCCAGCGCAACGACGUACAGUCUGAAUGGUAUUACAAUUUACUUUUGUAGUUUCUGAACCCGCUCUAUAUGAUAAAAAAAGUGCAUACGCGACUUCAAACAUAAAACUGAAAGCGAAACUCAUGCCCACCCAGGUGGUCGCCGUAACUUGGGGCAAUGGAGUACAGAGCAGGUCGCACGCCAGAUACAGCUACGCAAGCGCAGAUACAGAUACAGAUACAGAUGCUCUUACAGAUACGGAUACCGCGCACAAUUGAUGGACUUCACACGUUGGUCGAGAGCCAGCGAGAUGAUGGCUAUCUUGGCUCACACAUUAUCAUCAGACAUCGCAACGCUGUGUGGGUCGCUCAUCAGUCAAAUUGGCCAUUCCAUUCCAUUACCACCGGCCAGACAUUGUCCACGACGAUCUUUCGAAAAAGGGCCAAAAUAACGAAGCAAACGUCACGAGGUUGUGCAAGAGAUCUAAAUUACCAUCAGGGCUGGCAAGAUUCAAGCGAUUGAGUCAUUUGGCUUAAGGGACUGUAGAUAAGAAUCUUUAAGG